rnacentral:rRNA from 1 species
CAACUUUCAACAACGGAUCUCUUGGCUCUCGCAUCGAUGAAGAACGCAGCGAAAUGCGAUAAGUAAUGUGAAUUGCAGAAUUCAGUGAAUCAUCGAAUCUUUGAACGCACCUUGCGCACCUUGGUAUUCCGAGGAGCAUGCCUGUUUGAGUGUCAUG